rnacentral:rRNA from 1 species
CCUACGGGUGGCUGCAGUGGGGAAUAUUGGACAAUGGGGGGAACCCUGAUCCAGCCAUGCCGCGUGUGUGAAGAAGGCCCUCGGGUUGUAAAGCACUUUCAGUGAGGAAGAACGCCUGGUGGUUAAUACCCAUCAGGAAAGACAUCACUCACAGAAGAAGCACCGGCUAACUCCGUGCCAGCAGCCGCGGUAAUACGGAGGGUGCGAGCGUUAAUCGGAAUUACUGGGCGUAAAGCGCGCGUAGGUGGCUUGAUAAGCCGGUUGUGAAAGCCCCGGGCUCAACCUGGGAACGGCAUCCGGAACUGUCAAGCUAGAGUGCAGGAGAGGAAGGUAGAAUUCCCGGUGUAGCGGUGAAAUGCGUAGAGAUCGGGAAGAAUACCAGUGGCGAAGGCGGCCUUCUGGACUGAAACUGACACUGAGGUGCGAAAGCGUGGGUAGCAAACAGGAUUAGAUACCCGAGUAGUC